UGGCUCAGAACGAACGCUGGCGGCAGGCUUAAUACAUGCAAGUCGAGCGGGCGUAGCAAUACGUCAGCGGCAGACGGGUGAGUAACGCGUGGGAACGUGCCCUUUGGUUCGGAACAACACAGGGAAACUUGUGCUAAUACCGGAUAAGCCCUUACGGGGAAAGAUUUAUCGCCGAAGGAUCGGCCCGCGUCUGAUUAGCUAGUUGGUGGGGUAAUGGCCCACCAAGGCGACGAUCAGUAGCUGGUCUGAGAGGAUGAUCAGCCUCACUGGGACUGAGACACGGCCCAGAGACCUACGGGAGGCAGCACUGGGA
rnacentral:rRNA from 2 species